CCUACGGGAGGCAGCAGUGGGGAAUCUUGCACAAUGGGGGAAACCCUGAUGCAGCGAUGCCGCGUGAGUGAAGAAGGCCUUUGGGUUGUAAAGCUCUUUCGUCGGGGAAGAAAAUGACUGUACCCGAAUAAGAAGGUCCGGCUAACUUCGUGCCAGCAGCCGCGGUAAU
rnacentral:rRNA from 1 species